UACGUAGGGGGCUAGCGUUGUCCGGAUUUAUUGGGCGUAAAGAGCGUGUAGGCGGCCAGGUAGGUCUGCUGUGAAAACUCGAGGCUCAACCUCGAGAUGUCGGCGGAAACCAUCUGGCUAGAGUCCGGAAGAGGAAAGUGGAAUUCCUGGUGUAGCGGUGAAGUGCGCAGAUAUCAGGAAGAACACCCGUGGCGAAGGCGGGUCUCUGGGCCGAUACUGACGCUGAGGAGCGAAAGCGUGGGGAGCGAACAGG
rnacentral:rRNA from 1 species